AGGUGUCCUUGAUGAGGACUCUGGGAAGCUGAAAGUCAAUGAGAGAAGACUAGGCAAAGUCCUACCUGUUCUGCAAGCCAAAAGGAGGACUAAUGUUCCGACGUUUUCACAAUCAGAUCUAGAAAAGCAGAAGCAAAGUUAUCUCAAGGAAGUCAUUGCUCAUAUAACACACCCAAAGGACACUAACCAAGGUGCCCUGGGGGAACUAUGUGCCUUGAUGGGUCAAGUUCAUCAUGUGCCGAACCCAAAAUGGCAGCAUCCUUCGGACCUCACCAUGCGAAACUAUGCUCGGUUCCGACAGAAACCUCUGCAAAGAUACAGUCUGACUCAGUGGGUUGACAGGAACAUGCGAAGCCACCAUCGGUUCCAGCGUCUCUCAGAUUUCCCACCAAGUCUGUUUGUCUCAUCCCAUCAGCAGUGAAGGUGACCACUUCUUGAAAGCCGGCAUUAAGCCAGAAUACCAAGGCGCAGGCAAAGCACCUACCUCUGCGCAGAGGUGAAGUCUACUUCUGAUGCCCAAAAGAAAUCAUCUUUUCAUGUCCUGUAAGGAAGAGAUUACCAGGCUGCAAGCCGGCAAUAAUUACUGCUGAUGACAUAAAUGGACAGAAGUCACUUUUAA